rnacentral:rRNA from 1 species
UACGGAGGGUGCAAACGUUGCUCGGAAUCAUUGGGCGUAAAGCGCACGUAGGCGGCUCGUUAAGUCGGAUGUGAAAGCCCCGGGCUCAACCUGGGAACUGCAUUUGAGACUGCUCUGCUCGGGUGCGGAAGAGGGAAGCGGAAUUUCCGGUGUAGCGGUGAAAUGCGUAGAUAUCGGAAGGAACACCAGUGGCGAAAGCGGCUUCCUGGUCCGACACCGACGUUCAGGCACGAAAGCGUGGGGAGCAAACAGG